AUUGAACGCUGGCGGCAGGCCUAACACAUGCAAGUCGAGCGGAUGAGGAAAGCUUGCUUUUCGAUUCAGCGGCGGACGGGUGAGUAAUGCCUAGGAAUCUGCCUGUUAGUGGGGGAUAACUCGGGGAAACUCGGGCUAAUACCGCAUACGUCCUACGGGAGAAAGUGGGGGAUCUUCGGACCUCACGCUAACAGAUGAGCCCAGGUCGGAUUAGCUAGUAGGUGAGGUAAUGGCUCACCUAGGCGACGAUCCGUAACUGGUCUGAGAGGAUGAUCAGUCACACUGGAACUGAGACACGGUCCAGACUCCUACGGGAGGCAGCAGUGGGGAAUAUUGGACAAUGGGCGAAAGCCUGAUCCAGCCAUGCCGCGUGUGUGAAGAAGGUCUUCGGAUUGUAAAGCACUUUAAGUUGGGAGGAAGGGUAUUCACCUAAUACGUGGGUACUUUGACGUUACCAACAGAAUAAGCACCGGCUAACUCUGUGCCAGCCGCCGCAGUAAUAC
rnacentral:rRNA from 1 species